GUGGUGCUGCCAACACACUCCUUUGAAGCUCGGCUGGCCCCUGUGGGGAGUGCAGGAGGCUGGGGGUCUACUCCCUACGGUUCCCAGAGAAAUGGUAGCAAGAAGACGGUGUUAUUUCUAAUUGGAUGAUGAAAGUCAGCCUAGGGGACAGAGACCAAAGGGCCAUACGUAAGAAGAGGAGGAAGUGAAAACAUCUGAAUCAAAGGUUGAGGUAAAACUGAGAGACAGUGUUUGCAGUGAACCAUGCAGUAACCUUCAUCUUGCCCCCUGGUCUUCAGGAAACAAGCAAGUGGGGAAGGACCGAAAGAGAUUAUCCUGGACGAUUAAUCACCUGGAAGAAUGACAAAACAGCCCCAGAAUGGCAUCUUCACACGUGCCAGUUUUAUCUGUUAUCUCGUCACAUCACAUUUCCUUAGGAAUCCAAGGAGGAAUUUUUUUAAAGGAUUAGAGCAAGUGUGUUUGCUUGACUCCUCUAUCUAACAGGAAGGCAACUGGGACGGAGCUCCUGUGCACUUUGCCCUGGGUCAUGGUGGGCGGCUGGCUGUUUCCUCAGUCAGCCCACAAGUGAAAAGAGGUUACUGCUUUCUGAGCACCAUUUUUCCACACAACGCUUUUUUCGGCAAUGAGCUUCUAAGAGGAGAGUCACAGAUGAACGGGCCUGGAAUGGAGCUUUGAUUAGACCAUCUCACUUUUGUAAUGAGGACACUGAGGACCAAAAGAGACACAAAUCGCAAAACUAGAGCCACUUCCUCCUGGUUUUCAUCUAGAGGCCUGAAUUACAGCCCAGGACUUACCUCAUUUCACCCGUAUCUCAUCAUCACUUUUUCUUUUUUUUUCUUUCUUUUUUUUUUUUUUUUUUUUUUUUUGAGACACAGUCUCGCUCUCUCGCCCAGGCUGGAGUGCAGUGGCGCUAUCUCGGCUCACUGCAAGCUCCGCCUCCCAGGUUCACGCCAUUCUCCUGCCUCAGCCUCCCGAGUAGCUGGGACUACAGGCGCCCGCCACCACGCCCGACUAAUUUUUUGUAUUUUUAGUAGAGACGGGGUUUCACUGUGUUAGCCAGGAUGGUCUCGAUCUCCUGACCUCGUGAUCCGCCCACCUCAGCGUCCCAAAGUGCUGGGAUUACAGGCGUGAGCCACCGCGCCCGGCCUCAUCAUCACUAUUUCAGUGGGCCUCCAUUUUUCUUCCCCUCUAUCUCAAACGCCUGAAAGCUAGGGUAACAAGAACCAGGGAACCUUUGUCCCAGAGGAUUCAGCAUCAGACUAAGAGGUGGGCACGAAGAGGAAAAAUAACUCAGAGCCUGGGGUCACUGGGUUCUACCUUUUCCCCCAGUCAUAAGUGGGCUUUCCUACUAACCCAGCUAAACAUUUCCCCCUUCUACUUUUCUCAUUGUCUUCUUGGACCUCAGGUGUAGAAUGCUGAUAAUUAUAUUACUCAGUUUGUGAUUCAGUAUUAUCAUCUGGCUCUGCCAAGCCUGCUCUCUUUUUUAAAAUUGUGUUUGAUUAUUUUCUCUCUUCAUCUUUCAUCCUCACUCCCGCUACCCUCCCUCCCAUAGGCUGCCCCUUUAAUUGUUACUAUAUGUCCUUGAAUAUCCAUGUAUCCUUGAAGUAUUUAGUGUGUUGUUUUGUGCAGUACCUGUUUCUAAUUUACAUAAGUAAUAUUGCACUAAGCUCUCCUUCUGUUACUUUUUCCCUCAAUAGUCUUAGUAAGAUCUAGCCAUGCUUCUUUAUAUGAAUCCAGUUUAUUACUUUAAGCUACUGCCUCUGAUUAUGUAGCAGAAUGCAUCACAAUAUUUUUCUUAUCUAUUACUUCCAGUGAUGGACAUCUAGCCAUCACCAGUCCCAGCUACCAGAAGUCACAUUGCACUGAACAUUUUCAUAUAUAAAUUCAUUAGUCAAUGGAAGAAUUUCUCUUGGGUCUAAUUCUGAGAGUUAGACUAGUGGGUCAUGGGGAAGACCCAGGAAUACUUAUUUUACUACAUAUUCACAUACUUAUUUUUCAAUACAUAUUCACAUUUUGUUCUCUAGAAUGUCUGAACUAGCCCCUCCUGCCCACCUUGCAGUCCAGGAGAAUUCUCACAUCCUCACUAGUACUUGGUAUUAUGUGACUUUUUAAUUGUUGCCAAGCGGGGUUCCCUCCUCUUUAAUUGACUUAGCAAUUAAAAUUAUUAUUCUUAUGUUCUGUUUUUCUAUUUUGUGAAGUUAUAUGCAAUGACCAAAUGCAGGAAAAUCUCGUUUGCAGUUUGAAUAGGUACUGAGGAAUAAUUCAGUGUUCUGAUUAGUAGAAAGCUAUCUGUAU
rnacentral:lncRNA from 1 species